CUGCUUUAGUUUAUUAAAAUACUAUAUUGUGGUUAUAGAGAUAGGAUUGUCUUAAGUGGUAU
rnacentral:tRNA from 2 species